rnacentral:lncRNA from 1 species
AUGCUCUCUUCAGUUGGACUAUACCUACACCAAAUUUAUUUUGCUUUCUAAGCAAUGGUUUGUAGUCCCCAUAAAAUCAAUAAAAUGUAUUGGUACCAAUUGUAUGCAACACAAGUAUUAUGAGUACAGAAUAAAAUUUAAACUCAGUGUUGAAAGUAAUUAUGAUGUAAAACAUGAACUUAACCAAAAAGUAGUUGUUGUUUAAUGACUAAAUUGAGGGUAUUGGGACAGUUACAGAGGGUGUUUGCUGUUUGUCAACAAAAGCAACAGCCAUGGGUAAAUAUAAGCGCUUGUUAUAAUUAAAAUGCGUGUUUGUCGACUUUUUUUCCUCAAUAUACUGUCAUAAAUCAAACAAGUUCGUGCUUGUGUCAAUUUCUUUAAUCCAGUCAUAUUUUUUUGUACCAAUUUGUUCUACGAUUCUUGCGCUUUGGAUAUCAUUCACAGUCCAAAUUUCCUGACACAAAGUCAUUGUAUAAAUAAAGAAAAAAACACGGUUUUCGAUUCACUUGUGACUACCGCAAUUUGCGUUCAAGGACAAGGCGUUUUACUCGUAACUCGAAUAUUUCAUGCCCUUCUUGUUAUCAAUCUAUAUU